AUCUGCGGAGGAGCGAUGCGAUCAAAGAGCGAGGUGGAACACAACCUGACGGGUGACGGCGUCGCAACAUCCAAGGCAUUGUUCGUGAUCGCGUGGCUGUCGAACACGAAGAACAAGGAAGUGGUCGUCGGCGUGUUGUCUACAGGCGGAGCGAAGGAGGGACCACCACUUGCUGCCAGGAGCAUCCCGUGCCCGGAACUCAGCUAACCUGCAACGCAGCUACAUAAUGAAUACAACAACGAGUAAACGUGAAUUAAAGAGAGCGUUUGACGAAACCUAUCAGCAGACCUGCAGGGCCUUCACACAGUGGAAGAGGAAGAGGGAGGAGACAAUCUCACAUUUCCGAAGAGUUGCGGACGCGUUGGACAAGACGCAGCGGGAUGUUGAUGGCGCAUGGGCGAUUGGAGUUGGCGCCAUGGCCACUGGUGCUCUUGCGGCAGUUGGAGGUCUUUUAGCCACCCCGCUAAUGCUUGGUGUGUCUGCACUGACGGCUGGUGGCGUGGCAUUGGGUUUGAUGGGUGGUGCGGUAGCUACAGGUAGCAUACUCUCCAAAGAAUUUAUUGAAAACAAUAGUCUUGAUAAAGUCGAGAGAACCAUUGAAGAAGAGAGAAACAGUAUGGAUAAUCUAAAGCAGUGUCUCAAUGAGUUGAUCAAAAUUUGCGACCAGCUUGCCUUAAAACGGCCUCGUAAUCAGAGGGUCGUUGCCUUAAGAGAAGCCCAAAAUCAGCUUCAAGACGAGCUUAAGGUCAGCACAGUGCCGGUAAGACGACGGGCCGUCUCAGAUGAUGGCAUGCUUGAUGGGGGCAAAGCGAAAAAGCUAGGUUCUGUCUCAAACACAAAGAACCUUCGUCCUGCCAAGAGCAUGGAGCUAUUGUCCAUUCCUUCCUUUGUAGCAGUUUUUAGCACUGUCAGCAUAGGCAUCAGCACAGCAUUUGUGAUCUAUCUAAGUGAUAGUAUAAGGAACGGAAGCAAGUCGGAAACGUCACAGAGACUAAGAGCGAGAGCAGGUGACUUUGAGUUCCAUUUGGAGGCGUUCAGAAAUUUUAUCACUAAGUUUGAUGCGGAAAAUAAGAGAGCAGACAGUAGGCUGCGUCGGCUGUGGAGACGAGUAUUCAAAAAAUAAUAACUAACUUCAAAUAUGGAUUCGUGACAAACGAAAACAACACCACAUGGUGCCAUUACCAGCCACAUUUUAUAAUAGUAUCUUUAUAUUUCUUGGUUCGCUGCACUUUCACUCUGGUAUGAUAUCAAUUAUUAAUCUAUUGCAAAGGCAUGUACUCAAAAUUGGCCAGGACCGUAUACCAAAAAAUACCCUAAGAUGGACACCAACGGGCAAAAUGAAACCUGGGAGACCCUAGACCACGUGGCGCAAGACCGUGAAGGACGAGCUUUUGGCAGCGAUCGACCUCUCUUGGGGCGAGGCUUGACAUGUUGCCAAGGAAAAGAAGAUACUGGAGGGAAAUCAUUGCGGCCUUAUGUCCUAUAGAGAAUUAACAUAAUUAACUAAGGCAGAACAAUAGCGUAUUUGCCCGGAAGGGGAAGAGUUUUAAAUGUAAUCCUACUUACAAAAAAUGGUUUCAGGGUUGUGAAUUGUAUAUCCUUCAAGCUAGUAAAGACCACAUGGAGUGGAGGGAGUACACAAUUGUACCCCUUCACACGUCACGACAAGUGUAAGCCUUUUCCACUGGAACAUCUGAACCGCGCCAGCACAGGGCACUCAUGGUACAGCUGGUAUUCCGCGUGCCGUAACAAAACCAUAAUACGAGACUUAUUAAUCUGGCUCAGAGCCAAGCUUGGCCAGGGGUGGGACUAAUAAUACAUUAGCUGUACUGACAUCACGUUGCGUUUCAUGUCAGUCAGUGCAGCUCAAGAACAGCGUCCCUGCGUCACCUACAUACAUCUCAAUGGGUUAAUUGCGUAUGAUGUCAGUGACACACCGACAUUGUACUCACCGCAGAGAACUGUGACGACACCACCGCACUCUGUAAUAGCUGGUGCCAAACUAUGCCAGACGCCCUCCCGCAUGGCCUUGUGGGAGCCUCGGUACUGAUAAAGUUAUUUGAUUUGAUUUUUCUUCCGGUUCUGUUUUGAUGACGUACGGAAUCAGAAGAAAACCCGUUGACGUACAGGACGAGAAAAUGUUAAUCUGGCUUGGAUCCAAGAGGGGGUCAGACUAAUAAUAUGAUAGCCGUACUAACUGAAAUCAUGAUGCAUGUGAUGUCAGUCAGGACAGCUCAAACACAGCGCCCCCGCUUCCCCUUCAUACAUCUGAAUGGCUUAAUUGCGUUUGAUGUCAGUGACACGCUGAAGUCACGGCUCAGCUUCUACAGUGGAAAAACAACCAGGUGUCUCCAGAGCCGCGCUGGGCUGGCUUAACACGGCUCCUGCACAGUGCUGUUGUACUGCAGUGGAAAUAUGUACGUGUGCCUCAAAUUGACACCCCAGUGAUAGAAAUUGGUCAAGGGAGAAUUAGGGCUGUAACGAUACGUCAAUGAAUUACUUCUUAAUACAGAGAAGAGUGAAGGGCAGGAAAAGGGGAUAAAAAUGGUUUCGGGGUACUUGUUCAUGGGCAAAGUACAGAAUAUUUAUCUUUAUUAUUGUUUGCUUUAUAAUGAGUCAUGCUGCUGCAUUGGAUUCAUAUUGUUUAUCUGAUGGGUAAAUGAAUAAUGUAAAAGUUUACCGAAUCUGCUGGGGCAGUCGUGAUUGCGAGUUAUUGUUGCUAGAGUUAAUGUGACACAUGUUCGUACUGUUCCAUGUUGAUAUUUGGUUAUGAAUAUGUUAUAUAGUAUUCUUGGGUCUUUCGGUAGAGUCACGUUCAAAAUAAC